rnacentral:misc_RNA from 1 species
AAGUCGUAACAAGGUUUCCGUAGGUGAACCUGCGGAAGGAUCAUUAACACGUAUCCAACGUAUCAAACAAACCGCGAACUUGUAAAACUUACCUAUACUGAACACUGGAUUGGAUAGCGCCUUGAUGGGUUACUGGGAAACCAGUGACGUGCGCUUGAGAGUCUACCAGAUGAAAUAAGCUGGAGGUAUUCUUUAUGGGCUUUUUAAAUUCACCAUCAUAAAACUAUAUCUUAACGAUAUCACCUAUGCUAAUUGACUAACCCUUAACUUGCGUCUCGAAAGGGAACAAGUUGAAUCGUAGUUUAUCUAAACUAAGUACAACUCUUAGCAACGGAUAUCUCGGUUCUC